UGGGGAAUUUUGGACAAUGGGCGCAAGCCUGAUCCAGCCAUGCCGCGUGCGGGAAGAAGGCCUUCGGGUUGUAAACCGCUUUUGUCAGGGAAGAAAUCUUCUGAGUUAAUACCUCGGGAGGAUGACGGUACCUGAAGAAUAAGCACCGGCUAACUACGUGCCAGCAGCCGCGGUAAUACGUAGGGUGCAAGCGUUAAUCGGAAUUACUGGGCGUAAAGCGUGCGCAGGCGGUUUUGUAAGACAGAGGUGAAAUCCCCGGGCUCAACCUGGGAACUGCCUUUGUGACUGCAAGGCUUGAGUGCGGCAGAGGGGGAUGGAAUUCCGCGUGUAGCAGUGAAAUGCGUAGAUAUGCGGAGGAACACCGAUGGCGAAGGCAAUCCCCUGGGCCUGCACUGACGCUCAUGCACGAAAGCGUGGGGAGCAAACAGGAUUAGAUAGCUCUGGUAGUCCACGCCCUAAAACGACGUCAAUUGGUUGUUGGGAAGGUUCCUUCUCAGUAACGUAGCUAACGCGUGAAGUUGACCGCCUGGGGAGUACGGCCGCAAGGUUGAAACUCAAAUGAAUUGACGGGGU
rnacentral:rRNA from 1 species